GGGGGGAGGUCGGAUCCUGGGCCGUGUCCCCAGCACCCAGUGCUCCCGGGCCUACGCUGUUGGAUUCACGCUUCCGGCCGCGUAGCCCCCU
rnacentral:pre_miRNA from 1 species